CCUACGGGCGGCAGCAGUGAGGAAUAUUGGACAAUGGCCGGAAGGCUGAACCAGCCAUGCCGCGUGAAGGUCAGUGCCCUAUGGGCGUUAAACUUCUUUUGUGCGGGAGCAAUAAUGGUCACGUGUGGCCAGACGAGAGUACCGUACGAAUAAGCAUCGGCUAACUCCGUGCCAGCAGCCGCGGUAAUACGGGGGAUGCAAGCGUUAUCCGGAUUUAUUGGGUUUAAAGGGUGCGUAGGCUGUGAGGUAAGUCAGCGGUGAAAUGCCCCCGCUCAACGGGGUGAAGUGCCAUUGAUACUGCCUGGCUGGAAUGCGGAUGCCGUGGGAGGAAUGUGUGGUGUAGCGGUGAAAUGCAUAGAUAUCACACAGAACACCGAUUGCGAAGGCAUCUCACGAAUCCGCGAUUGACGCUGAUGCACGAAAGCGUGGGUAUCAAACAGGAUUAGAUACCCGAGUAGUC
rnacentral:rRNA from 1 species